GAUCACCUAAGUUAAGCAACAUCGCGCCUGGUCAGUACUUAGAUGGGUGACCGCUUGGGAAUACCAGGUGCUGUAA
rnacentral:rRNA from 1 species